rnacentral:rRNA from 1 species
AUACAUAGGGGGCGAGCGUUGUCCGGAAUGACUGGGCGUAAAGGGAGCGUAGGCGGUUGUGUGUGUUAUCUGUGAAAGCCCGGGGCUUAACUCCGGAACGGCAGAUAAGACUGCACGACUAGAGUGUGGGAGAGGAAAGUGGAAUUCCUAGUGUAGCGGUGGAAUGCGUAGAUAUUAGGAGGAACAUCAGUGGCGAAGGCGGCUUUCUGGACCAUAACUGACGCUGAGGCUCGAAAGCGUGGGGAGCAAACAGGAUUAGAUACCCUGGUAGUCCACGCCGUAAACGAUGGAUACUAGACGUAGCGGGUAUCGACUCCCGCUGUGUCGCAGCUAACGCAAUAAGUAUCCCGCCUGGGGAGUACGGCCGCAAGGCUAAA